rnacentral:rRNA from 1 species
GUGGCUAUUGCGGUGGGGAUCACCUCUUCCCAUUCCGAACAGAGAAGUUAAGCCCACCAGCGCAGAUGGUACUGGCACUCCGCCGGGAGAGUAUGUCGCUGCCC